rfam:Heterocephalus glaber contig129618, whole genome shotgun sequence.
AGAUGUGAGGGCGAUCUGGUUGCGACAUCUGCCACCCCAUAGAUCGCCAGGGUUGGUUUGGCUGAUCUGGCUGGCUAGGCGGGUGUCCCCUUCCUCCCUCUCACUCCAUGUGCCUCUCUUCUGAAGCUUCACGCUCCGUGGAAGAGGACCACCCCAAUAGAGCAGGACUGUUUUCUCAGGGUCAUACAAGCAGCUGUGCUCCCCUGUUAGAACCUCCAAAAAAGCUCUUAAGGAUUCUCAGACCCCUCUCAGGAUGCCAGUUGAAAACUCUGCUCUUGCUAGAUCCUCUGAAAAGUACAUUUGAAGUUACAAAACUAGCAUGCACAACAUGAGAGCUACAUUCA